UUUCCGGUUGAUCCCGCCGGACCUGACUGCUAUCGGAUUGAUACUAAGCCAUGCGAGUCUUUGUAGUAAUACAAGGCAGACGGCUCAGUAACACGUAGUCAACCUACCCUAUGGACGAGAAUAAUCUCGGGAAACUGAGCAUAAUUCUCGAUAGAUCAUAAUGCCUGGAAUGGUUUAUGGUUAAAAUGAUUCGUCGCCAUAGGAUGGGACUGCGGCCUAUCAGCUUGUUGGUGAGGUAAUGGCCCACCAAGGCGAUUACAGGUACGGGCUCUGAGAGGAGAAGCCCGGAGAUGGGUACUGAGACACGGACCCAGGCCCUAUGGGGCGCAGCAGGCGAGAAAACUUUGCAAUGUGCGAAAGCACGACAAGGUUAAUCCGAGUGAUUUCUGCUAAAGAAAUCUUUUGCCAGUCAUAAAACCACUGGUGAAUAAGGGGUGGGCAAGUUCUGGUGUCAGCCGCCGCGGUAAAACCAGCACCUCAAGUGGUCAGGAUGAUUAUUGGGCCUAAAGCAUCCGUAGCCGGCUUUGUUAGUUUUCGGUUAAAUCCAUGUGCUCAACACAUGGGCUGCCGAAAAUACUGCAUGGCUAGGGAGUGGGAGAGGUAGACGGUACUCAGUAGGAAGGGGUAAAAUCCUUUGAUCUAUUGAUGACCACCUGUGGCGAAGGCGGUCUACCAGAACACGUUCGACGGUGAGGGAUGAAAGCUGGGGGAGCAAACCGGAUUAGAUACCCGGGUAGUCCCAGCUGUAAACGAUGCAGACUCGAUGAUGCAUUGGCAUAAUAGCCAGUGCAGUGUCGCAGGGAAGCCGUUAAGUCUGCCGCCUGGGAAGUACGUACGCAAGUAUGAAACUUAAAGGAAUUGGCGGGGGAGCACCACAAGGGGUGAAGCCUGCGGUUCAAUUGGAUUCAACGCCGGG
rnacentral:rRNA from 1 species